GGAAGGAUCAUUACAACACAAUACGAGCCCCGGGCAAACCGGUGGUCAAUUGAUAGCUUAUCUAACUGUUCCACAGUCCGAAAGGGGGACGCCCCGACUAGGACUAAACUCAUCCGAAAGGGUCUCGACUAGGAUUCGUCCGAAAGAGGCUUCGACUAGGAUUCGUGUAUUAUUAGUAGUAUUAUAUAAACCAAAUACAAGGUUUAGCGGUGGAUGAAUCGGCUCAGAUAGCGAUGAAGAUCGUAGCAAAAUGCGAUAAGGAGUGCGAACUGCAGUAAACUGCGAGUACUUUAUCAUUGAAUGCACGCUGCACCUGACGGCUUACGCUUUCAGGUGUGUUCGGUUGAGUUGCGGUAAUAUACCUAAAUUCCCCACGGGGAGUCUUGGGGUCCUAGUUAUAUACUAGUUCCCUUAAAUGUUCGACAGGUCCGAUCGGAGAGGAUACACUGCGUUCGAAAGGAGGCGGGGUAACUGAAGCGAGAAGGCCUUAUAGAUAACGAUCCUAGAGAUCCUAAAAUUCGCACUCAACUCGAGCACGACUACCCUUGGAAUUUAAGCAUAUAAUUACGGGGAGGAAAAGAAACUAACAAGGAUUCGCCUAGUAACUGCGAGUGAAGAGCGAAGAGCCCAUCCUGAAUCCUAGAUCAUUAAGUUGGUCCUGGAGUUGUAGGGUAAGGUUGAUCCUUUUGAGGUCCUGCGUUGCUCGAAGUCCGCUGGAAAGCGGCUCCAUAGAGGGUGAAAGGCCUGUAGGGAAAUGCGGGGUCGCUUUAUAAGGGUUGAACCAUGAGUCGUACUAUUUGAGAGUAUAGUACUAAACGGUGAUAUGCAUCAUCGAAGGCUAAAUAUUGAUCUGAGACCGAUAGCAAACAAGUAGCGUGAGCGAAAUUUGAAAAGAACUUUGGAAAGAGAGUUAAAAGUACCUGAAACCGCUAAGCUGAAAGGGUUGAACCGAUCCGCGUGGUGUUUGUCGUAUUCAGGCCUCGAUUAGAUGGCUAAGCUCGGGAUUCAGCAGUUGCCCAGCAGCUGCGUUGAACGGGUGGUGCUGUCGAAUGAGGUUGCAUUUAUGGCCGACUGUGCAUUGCCGCUUCUGGAUCCUUUAGAAGGGGAGUCUAACGGUAGCUGCUUGCGGCGAAGUAGGCACUUGAUGAGGGGAACAGGAGCGAGGAGCUCGAAAGAGCUUUAACGAGCGGUAUCCUUAGAUGAAGGCCCAGGUACUGCUGAAGUGGAUCCAGCUUGCUGGGUACGCGGAUGUAAGGCCUACGGUUGGAAAUCUUGAAGCUCGUUUCGGCAAUGAAGGAGAGGUUGAACCACCCGUCUUGAAACACGGACCAAGGAGUCUAACAUGCCUGCGAGUCGAUGGCUUUAAAAGCUUGUGGCGCAAUGAAAGUGAUGUCUCUCAAGGCGCAAGCCUGCAGGAGAAACCUACCUUGGACUCGUUCCUCGGUUUGAGUUAGAGCACUUGGAUUAGGACCCGAAAGAUAGCGAACUUUGCUUGCACAGAUUGAAGGCAGGGGAAACCCUGCUGGAGGAUCGUAGCGUUGUUGACGUGCAAAUCACUCGUCAGAUGUAAGUAAAGCGGCGAAAGACUAAUCGAGCUGUCUAGUAGCUGGUUCCGUC
rnacentral:misc_RNA from 1 species